GUCCCCCGCCCCCUCGCGGCGGCUCGUGCUGCCCCCGUGCGCCUGGAAGAGGCGCCGCCUGAGGGUGAGCCCCCCCUCCCCAGGCCCGGGCCCGAGAGACCCCGCGGCCGCCCCCGAACUGGGGUCCUCCCCGGCUUCUCCCGCGGUCGGAGGAGUCCGGCGUCAGUCGCUGCCCCUGUCCAAAACCAUCCCGGGAGGCUCUCGAGCGGGGCCGGGGUCUGUCAGGGCGGCAUCUCCCGAAAGCCCCGUCCCAGCCCCUUGUCUUCCCAACGAAAGCCGCUGCCCGGACCGCGCGGAUAAUCCGCGUUUAUUUUCCAGUUUUCUGUGGUAAAGCCCCGUGUUCUAGGAAGGAGCAGCCAGCGGUAGAGCCCGCCUGAGACGAGGGGGACAGCUUUGCAACUACUGGUAACGUUCUCCUCAUCAUGGUGAGGGUCCUCCAAGGAUCAGCUGCCAAGGCAUCAGUCUCUGCAGGUGACUCCCAGAUGCCCACAUCUAGCCCUGCUUUCUCCCGAGCUGCCUUCUGGACAUUUUGGAUCUGGCACUCCUCUCCAUCCCCCAGCAUAUCCAAAGGACUUCCCGAAAUGUUUGAUCAUGAUCAGAAUCAACACAUUUAAAAGUUGGGUAUUGAUUUCCAGGGCUUGGUGACUAGUGCUUUAAUGUUAUCUUCUUUGAUAGCGAAUUGUUUGCCAAACCCAGCGAUAAUGCUAAUGUACUUUAUAUUCAUCUAGGCUGUGAAAAACCCUGACUUCCUGACUCAUGUUUGCCAAAUAAACAUUUUAUUAUUAAAACUCAAUGGGAGAUUGGUGCAGAGCCUCCAAAGGAGGCCUCCAGUUGAUUAGUCCAAGAGUUGCUAAACAAAGUUAUUUAAUACAUUUCCUCCCUCCCCCCAAGCCUGCUCCUUUCUGUAGUUUGGGCUCAAUUAGUCUUCUGACAAUACUCUACUGCAGAGAUCAGCUCCAGAAAUGAUGCAGCAAAGACUUCAAUUAAUAUCAACAGAAUGAAUCAUUAACACAUUGAAAGCCAGGAAACAUUAGCACAAAUUCAUUUGUUAUUCAAGGACCUUCUCAAUUUUGACCCCAAAUAGCUUUCCAAUCUAAUCUACACCAUCGUACCACAUGUCAUUGUUAGUUGAUCAUAUUCUGCAGUUUUCCAGGACAUUGCUUUUGCUCCACCUGGAAAACCUUUUAUAGCUUACUCCCUUCCCAUAGUCUCCUGAAACAGUCUUGAACUUCUAUUGUAUCGAUAGCACAGAGCCUUGGAAUAUGUACUUAUUUAUUGAAGCUUUAGAUUAUAUCUUUUUUUACUCUAUUAGUACUUCAUUGGUUGUACUCUGCUUCUCCUCAAGUAGACUUACACAUUUUCCAAGUACAGGGAUCACCUUUCUUCUCUUGUGUCCAUUAGACAACAGCAGUUACCAGGCACCUUGUUGAUCCUAAAACAAAGGGACCCGAGUCUUCUAAUUUUACAGAAGGUUGUGACAUAUCCCCAGUCAUAAAGCUUAUGAGAAUAUCAUGACAAACCACAUUUCUCAGCCUGAAUAUAUGGUAUCUAUGAAUAGGAAUUUAUUUCCUAUGAAUAUACUUUGGUGUCUUCUUUUUAAAAAUGAUAGUAUUCCCUCCCCACCCCCCCCCCCCCAGUUACAUAUCAGGAAAAAAAAUUUAGCUUUCAUUUUUUUUUACAAGAUUUUGAAUUACAAACUUUUCUCCCUCUGUACUCUCUCCUUUUUCAAGUGAAGGCAGUUGGAUAUAGUUUAUAUACAUGUGCUGUCGUAUCAACCAUAUUUCUAUAUCACUCAUAGUUGUGAAAAAAGAAAUAGAUCAAAAGAAAAAAACAAAGAUUAAACUAAAAAAAAAAAUGGUUAGUAUUUUCCUUUGUACUUGUCUUGGAUCACCAUGUUGCUAAGAAGAAGUGGGCCAAUCAUACUUUAUCACACAAUGUUGCUGAAACUGAGUACAAUGUUUUUUUGGUUCUGUUCAUUGCAUACAAGUUUCUCCAGGCUAUUCUGAAAUUUACCUGUUCACCAUUUUUUAUUGAACAAUAGCAUUCCAUUAUAUUUAUAUACCAUACUUUGUUCGGCCUUUCCACAAUUAAUGGACAUCCUUUCAAUUUUCAAUAUUUUACCAUACCAAUGAAAAGAGCUGCUAUUAGUACUUUUGCACUUUAGGUCCUUUUCCUUUUUUUUUUUUUUUUUUCUUCUUUGGUAUGCAGACCUAUUAGGUAUGCAUUAGGGAAUGCGUAGUGUGGUUGCCCAUUGCACACAGUUCCAGAGAUCUCCAGAAUGGUUGAAUCUGCUCACAAUUUUACCAACAGGACAUUAGUGUCCCAGUUUUCCCACAUUCUCUCCAACAUUUAUCAUUUUUCUUUCUUGUCAUAUUGGCCAAUCUGAUAAUAAUGAGAUAAUAUCUUGGAGUUGUUUUAAUUUGCAUUUCUCUAAUCAAAAGUAAUUUAGAGCAUUCCUUCAUAUGCCUACAAGUAGCUUUGAUUUCCUCCUUUGAAUAUUCUUUGAAUAUUCCUCCUUUCAUAUUCUUUGACCACUUAUUAAUUAGGGAAUGGCUUGUACUCUUCAUAAAUUUGACUUAUUUUAUAUAUAUAUAAUAUAUUAAUAUAUAGACAUAUAUAUAUGAGUUAAUAUAAAUUUGACUUAGUUCUUUAUAUUUGAGAAAUGAGGCCUUUAUUAGAAAUACUUGGUGUAAAAAAUUGUUUCCUAGCUUCCUACUUUCCUUCUAAUCUUGGUUGCAUUUUGUUUGUACAAAAGCUUUUAAAUAUAAUAAAAAUUAUCUAUUUUGCAUUUCGUAAUGCUCUCAAUGCUUUUUUUUUUGUCUGACAGGCAGACUAUUUCUUACUCUUCAAAUGUGCUUACAGUGUCACCUUUUAUGUCUAAAUUAUGUACCCAUUUUGAAUGUAUCUGUAUAUAGUGUGUAGUGUUGGUUUAUACCUAGUUUGUAUCCUAUUGUUUUCUGAGCAAUUUUUCCCUUUAAGUUUUAAUAAAACAACUAUGUGCUCAUGUCACACUUGUAUGAAAAUAUAAUGCAGAUGAAUAUGUAGAAUUAUAAGUGGAAAAGGGAAGAAACAGAUUGGGGGAGAGAUUUUUUUUUUACUAUCAAGGAACAAAAAUAAAAGUUGAGAGGAAGAAGAAAGAUCAUAGAGCCUUUAGAGAUCCUAAAAGCAAGAAAAUUUUCAAAAUUAGCUUAGAGGAGACUGCAGUAGAAGGGAUAAUUGAGAAAAACAUUUCUAUCUUCAAUUAUAUCAAGCAUUGUCAUAUAGAAGAGGAAUUGGAGCUCUUCUGCUGGCAUCAGACGGCAGAAGUAGUAGGAGUGACUACAAACUGUAAGAGGCCAAUUGAGGCUCCAUGCAAACUUAAGUCUUCUGAAAGAGCCUGGAUGAUGACUGGCCAGGUCAGAGUACUAUAUGUCUGCCCCAGGUCCUUUUCAGCUCAAAUUUGUAAACUAGAGAGAGGGAACUCAAGGAGUAAAACAAAGAGUCAUUCACCUGGAGGCCCUUGACAGAAAGGGCUGAGCUACAAGCUAGAAAGCAGGAGGGCAGGAACAUUACCAGUAACUCACAAAGCACAAAAUCCCCAAGUUUAACCUGUUUUAGUUACUACAACAUAAUUUCCUUCAUUCUAAAGUUCACACUCAUCCUAAAUCAUUUGCUUUUGGAUUAGAAUCUUUUUCAAUUUAUGUCUGAUCAUGGAUAUUAUCUAACACAUUGGGUAGACCACACUUUCAGCUACCAUUUCUUCAUGCCGAUAGAUUGCAAUCCCAUCACCUGGUGAAUUCACAGAUCACUCCUCACCUUGAUACAUGUUAUUCCAUGGAAUAAGGACUGCUAUAGUGGCAAGGUGACUAGAUCAAAACUUAGAAAUCCUGGCUCUGCUGCUUAUAGCCUGUGAAACCUUGGCUAAAGUCCUUUAAACACCAAGGUCCUCAAUUUCCUCAGAUGCCAUCAUUCAUCUCUGAUCUGUUAAUCUUCCUAUGAGUUUCCUACAAGAGAUUUCCAAUGGCAACUGAAGGAAAAAAGAAACAGAACUAGAUGCUAAUAAGCAAUUUAUAAGAGCUCUCAGUAACUGGCUUCAAGGUGGGUAAUCUACUCAAGAAAUGAGAGCUGAUGACAAUUUAAAAAUAUCGUCUAAAACUGGAGGCUUUCUAAAAAAAACUGAACAAAGUGAAGCAACAAAGUUGCAUAAUACAUUUCUUUGGUCCAUUUUCAUCAAAUGUCUCUGGCUAAGGGGAGCAGUAUUAUUUUCCAAAUAUAUAAAAUCAGGAAACUAUUUCUCUAAGCAAAUUGUAAAAAUUUAAAAUUAGUGGUUCACUAGACCUUUUAUUCCCUAAAAUGGGAUUAUAUCUUAUUACUUUGAAAGUUAAGGAACCAACAAAAACAAACCCAUCAAACUGAUUUAGUGCUAAAAUUUUCACUUUUUUUUAAAAAAAAGUGAUUAUGUGCUAUUUUAAGUGGGGAAAAAUGCAGGCUUAGCAAUGUUUCAUUAUGCUGUGCAGUAAAUACAUAGGAUGCUUAGAAUUUUGAAAGGUAUUUUAACUUAAAGUAACCUUAGUUCAAUGUUCUGAAUUUUUCUAGGAUAAAAUUGUAACUAUACUAUUAAUAAAAUUGAAAUCAAGACAAGUAAG